GUACCCGCUUCAGCGGUACGUAUUCAAAAAUUAGAACGAUACAGAGAAUAUUAACAUGUCCCUGCGCAAGGAUUGCACUCAAAAAAUAAAUAAUAAUAACAAAAAA